rnacentral:misc_RNA from 1 species
GCAAGAUUUGGUCCAUCAGUGUUCCUUCUCAUUUUAUGUGGCAAACACAACAAAUGCUGAUAAAACCACAAUUGCUAGCACUAGUUUGUUCGUCCUCCGAGGAAUUGCAGACAAGAGUCAUGGAUAACAAACAACAAUUUGGAAGGUAUGAUCAGCUCUGCACAGUCAUUCAUUGACAACUCAAUUACUGGAGAGAUUCAUCAACAAGUCAUUUCUCCCAUUCAUCACAGUUCGAUACAAAAUUUUCUAACUUGAUGAACGGCAGACAUUACACGUUUUGUCCAUCAACCUCCUAGAAGUGUUCAGGGGCAGUACAGGCAUCUAGUGAAAGUAACCAAGAACCUGACCACCCACAUUCCGACCAAUUGCUUCUUCAUGGUCCAAUACACCAUCUGGUGUAGUUAUCACGACAUAACCAUACUGACGAGUGGGAAGUAUUCGCAACCUGUAUGCUUCUAUAUCCUUUGCCUUGAUGUCUUGCCUGUAAGUGAGUGCCCGACAAUCUUUUAUCCUGCCUUGUAGUUCAACUGUUAUCCUCCCAACUCUGUGUGGAUCCUGAACUUGAAAAUUUUUUAUAUAUCCUCGAUCUUUCAUGAUCUUGAGGAAAGA